UUUUGCAUUGGAUUGAGAACAACGUACAAACCUUAUCGAUAAACAAUUGGAGGGCAAGUCUGGUGCCAGCAGCCGCGGUAAUUCCAGCUCCAAUAGCGUAUAUUAACGUUGUUGCAGUUAAAAAGCUCGUAGUUGAAAUGAAGGGUGGUUGUGUAAUGAAUACAUUCGUGUAUUUUGUUAUUCUACUACCCUCCUUCUAAAUUCGAUAUAUGAGUAUUAAUUUACUUGUAUAUGGUUUUAGACCUUUACUGUGAGAAAAUUAGAGUGUUCAAAGCAGGCAUUUGCUUGAAUAUAUUAGCAUGGAAUAAUCAUGUAUGAUUUUCAUGAUGUAUUUGAUUGGUUUGGUUCAUGAGAAUAAGAUUAAAAGGGACAGUUGGGGGUAUUCAUAUUCAAUAGUCAGAGGUGAAAUUCUCGGAUUUAUGGAAGAUGAACAAGUGCGAAAGCAUUUACCAAGGAUGUUUUCAUUAAUCAAGAACGAAAGUUAGGGGAUCGAAGAGGAUUAGAUACCCUCGUAGUCUUAA
rnacentral:rRNA from 1 species